rnacentral:snRNA from 1 species
AUACUUACCUGGGCGGAGCCUAUCGUUGAUCCGGAAGGACGAUGACUUAGGACGAGCUGACCCAUUGCACCACGGCUCGGCAAAUCCUAGCACUUCCUCAAGGGGAAAGUGCACGUCAUAAUUUGUGGCAGCGGAGAGCUCGCGUUCGCGCGGCCCUCCA